UGAAGGUCCGUAUGCUGUCACGUCCAGCG
rnacentral:sRNA from 1 species